GUCUACAGCCAUAUCAUCCUGAACAUCCCUGAUCUCAUCAGACGCUAAGCAGGAUCAGGAGAACCUUGUUUGUUCAUUGAUAAUAGCAUGUAAAAUAGUUAUGUUCUGGAAA
rnacentral:rRNA from 14 species